UGGGGGAUAUUGCACAAUGGGCGAAAGCCUGAUGCAGCGACGCCGCGUGGGGGAUGAAGGCUUUCGGGUUGUAAACCUCUUUCGCUAUCGAACAAGGCCCGCUUAGGGUGGGUUGAGGGUAGGUGGAGAAGAAGCGCCGGCUAACUACGUGCCAGCAGCCGCGGUAAUACGUAGGGCGCGAGCGUUGUCCGGAAUUCUUGGGCGUAAAGGGCUUGUAGGCGGCUUGUUGCGCCUGCUGUGAAAACGCGGGGCUUAACUUCGCGCGUGCAGUGGGUGCGGGCAAGCUUGAGUGUGGUAGGGGUGACUGGAAUUCCAGGUGUAGCGGUGGGAUGCGCAGAUAUCUGGAGGAACACCGAUGGCGAAGGCAGGUCACUGGGCCAUUACUGACGCUGAGGAGCGAAAGCAUGGGUAGCGAACAGG
rnacentral:rRNA from 1 species